ACAGCAGUCGCCGCGGGAAAACGUAGGUGGCAAGCGUUGUCCGGAAUUAUUGGGCGUAAAGGGCUCGCAGGCGGUUUCUUGAGUCUGAUGUGAAAGCCCCCGGCUCAACCGGGGAGGGUCAUUGGAAACUGGGAAACUUGAGUGCAGAAGAGGAGAGUGGAAUUCCACGUGUAGCGGUGAAAUGCGUAGAGAUGUGGAGGAACACCAGUGGCGAAGGCGACUCUCUGGUCUGUAACUGACGCUGAGGAGCGAAAGCGUGGGGAGCGAACAGGAUUAGAUACCCGGGUAGUCCCUGUCUCUUAUAC
rnacentral:rRNA from 1 species